GGGGAGGUGAGUAUGGCGGCUGAUUGUGAUAUGAUGGCUGAGUGGGCUGACUAGGCUGACCUCUAUUGUAGGCAUGGUUUUGGUAUUGGGAUCUAUUUUAAAAGUUCUGUAUAGAAAAAAUUUGGAUCUGAGCCUGAGUCAGUUGGGGUCUCCAAGAAAAAUUAGGAUGGUUCUUCCAAUCUUGAUUAUAUGUGUUAGAGAAUAGAUUAUUG
rnacentral:lncRNA from 1 species